GACGGAAGGUGCAAGCGUUGCUCGGAAUCACUGGGCGUAAAGGGUGCGUAGGCGGCUUGGUAAGUUGGGUGUGAAAGCCCCGGGCUCAGCCCGGGAAGGGCACUCGAAACUGCCGAGCUGGAGUGCCGGAGGGGAGAGUGGAAUUCCUGGUGUAGCGGUGAAAUGCGUAGAUAUCAGGAGGAACACCGGUGGCGAAGGCGGGUCUCUGGGCCGAUACUGACGCUGAGGAGCGAAAGCGUGGGGAGCAAACAGG
rnacentral:rRNA from 1 species